UCCCACUGCUGUAGCAAUACAGUGGUGGGGGAAGUGGCGAAAGGGGCAGUAAUGCGUGGGUAACCUACCCUGGGGACCGGGAUAGCCCUUCUAACGAGGGGGUAAUACCGGGCAAUGUGACGAGGGGGCAUCUCUUUGUCACCAGAUGAGUUUCGCCCUGGGAGGGGCUCACGUCGUAUUAGCUAGUUGGUGAGGUAACGGCUCACCAAGGCAAAGAUGCGUAGCGGGUGUGAGAGCACGACCCGCGCCACUGGCACUGAGACACUGGCCAGACACCUACGGGUGGCUGCAGCCGAGGAUCUUCGGCAAUGGGCGCAAGCCUGACCGAGCGACGCCGCGUGUGCGAUGAAGGCCUUCGGGUUGUAAAGCACUGUCGAGGGGGAUCAAGGCGCAAGCUUGAGAGAUCCCUGGAGGAAGCACGGGCUAAGUUCGUGCCAGCAGCCGCGGUAAGACGAACCGUGCGAACGUUGUUCGGAAUCACUGGGCUUAAAGGGCGCGUAGGCGGCUCAUCAAGUCGGGGGUGAAAUACUUCAGCUUAACUGGAGAAGUGCCUUCGAUACUGGUGGGCUUGAGGGAGGUAGGGGUCUGUGGAACUUCUGGUGGAGCGGUGAAAUGCGUUGAUAUCAGAAGGAACGCCGGUGGCGAAAGCGACGGACUGGACCUCUUCUGACGCUGAGGCGCGAAAGCUAGGGGAGCAAACGGGAUUAGAUACCCCGGUAGUCCUAGCCCUAAACGAUGGGUACUAGAUUGUGGACUUGACAUGGGUUCACAGUCGAAGCAAAAGUGUUAAGUACCCCGCCUGGGGAGUAUGGUCGCAAGGCUG
rnacentral:rRNA from 1 species